UCUCCUGUAGCUCAGUGGUAGAGCGUCCGACCGGUGUGCGGAAGGUCAUAGGUUCGACUCCUGUUGUGAGAA